UCACUAGAAGAUGAUGAUGUCUAGUUGUACCUCUUCACCAGACUGGAUUCAGAGUAUGAUCCAAUUGUCACUUCUCUACCACUCGGUCUGAUCCCCUUAGCCUUGAUGACAUUUAUGCUCACCUCCUCACCUUCGAGA